GGAAAAUAGUCAUCUUCCUUGCUUUCAUCUAUUACAAAAAUAAGAUAAUCCUUAAUUCAACAAGUUCCAAAUCUUUUAGUUUUUGACAUUGUGUAAUAAUGUGUGUAUUCUUACAAGAUACAAUCACUACUUGGAUUUUAUGUGUGCGUGUGUGUGUGUGUGUGUGUGUGUACCUCACCACCACUUAAUAACAGGUGCUGGUUUGCUUAUGUCUCCUGUAACUUA